rnacentral:rRNA from 1 species
CUACGGGGCGCUGCAGUGAGGAAUAUUGCACAAUGGGGGGAACCCUGAUGCAGCAACGCCGCGUGGAGGAUGACGCAUUUCGGUGUGUAAACUCCUUUUAUAUGUCAAGAAAAUGACGGUAGCAUAUGAAUAAGCACCGGCUAACUCCGUGCCAGCAGCCGCGGUGAAUACGGAGGGUGCAAGCGUUACUCGGAAUCACUGGGCGUAAAGGACGCGUAGGCGGGUUGGAAAGUCAGGUGUGGAAGCCUACAGCUUAACUGUAGAACUGCACUUGAAACUUCUAAUCUAGAGUAUGGGAGGGGGAGAUGGAAUUAGUGGUGUAGGGGUAAAAUCCGUAGAUAUCACUAGGAAUACCUAAAGCGAAGGCGAUCUCCUGGAACAUUACUGACGCUAAGGCGUGAAAGCGUGGGGAGCAAACAGGAUUAGAUACCCUGGUAGUC